AGCAGCCGCGGUAAUUCCAGCUCCAAUAGCGUAUAUUAAAGUUGUUGCAGUUAAAAAGCUCGUAGUUGAAUUUCAGGCCUGGCUGGACGGUCCGCCCUUCGGGUGAGUACUGUCUGUGGUCGGGUCCUACCUUCUGGCGAAGCGUCAUGGCCUUAACCGGCCGUGGCGGGGAACCAGGACUUUUACUGUGAAAAAAUUAGAGUGUUCAAAGCAGGCAAAUCGCUUGGAUACAUUAGCAUGGAAUAAUGGAAUAGGACAAUGGUUCUAUUUGUUGGUUUCUAGGACCGUCGUAAUGAUUAAUAGGGAUAGUUGGGGGCAUUAGUAUUCAAUUGUCAGAGGUGAAAUUCUUGGAUUUAUUGAAGACUAACUACUGCGAAAGCAUUUGCCAAGGAUGUUUUCAUUAAUCAAGAACGAAAGUUAGGGGAUCGAAGACGAUCAGAUACCGUCGUAGUCUUAACCAUAAACUAUGCCGACUAGGAAUCGGGCGAUGUUGAAAAAAUGACGC
rnacentral:rRNA from 1 species